CGCUGGUGGAGCUAGUUUGUUGCACUGAACAUGUGUCGUGCGUGUGCGUGAACGAUAAAUGCUGCUCCAGCCAGCGAGUGAAUCCCCCGCCGCCCCGCCCUCUCCUCCCUGUGCCGCAAGCAGCAGGCGCACCUCACUAACGGAGGGCGCCCUUACUCCCAGCAAAUGUAGGCGGGGCCAGGUACGUACGUUCUUUUAGAGCAGAGCUACAGAUUAAAAAUGCCCAAGGCGAAGCGGUCAAAAGUCUGGCUGUACUUCACAGCAAAAUAUGCAAACUCAGCAGCCUGCAACAAGUGCUUUAAGCUGAUACUGUGAUACUGUCAAAGGAGGUAACACCUCAAAUCCGAUGAAACACCUGGCGACGCAUAGCGGGUUUUUUUUAAAGCCAAGAAAUGUGCCGUGUUUGAUAGCUUGCUGUGAGACCUCACACCGUGCACAUCUACUGCGGGUGUGGUGCCUGUUAUCGGACCUGGAGUUAGUAACAUCCCCCAAAAACCCGAAGAGUAGAGUCCUGGCCCCUAGCCCUGACAGCAUAGCAGAAAUGAUGACGGAUGAUGAUGGCAGCAGCAGCCGUUCUCCUCUGCGUCCUGUGUAGAAAGAAUCUGACUGGACGUUGUUACUGGAAGGUGGAGUAGAGAGGGUUGAAGUUGCAGUCACGUACGAGAAUGAAGAACAUCAGUGUAGAUUUGAAAUGAAUGAUAAAAUAAAGGUGAAACACACUGUACUGUAAAAAUGACUUAUUAUACACACGUGCAAUGCAGGCUG
ensembl:lncRNA